CCUACGGGAGGCAGCAUUAAGGAAUAUUGCGCAAUGGGCGAAAGCCUGACGCAGCGACGCCGCGUGGGGGAUGAAGGUCUUCGGAUUGUAAACCCCUUUCGGGAGGGAAGCGGUACCUCCAGAAGCAGCCACGGCUAACUUCGUGCCAGCAGCCGCGGUAAUACGAAGGUGGCAAGCGUUAUUCGGAUUUACUGGGCGUACAGGGAGCGUAGGCGGUUCGGUAAGCCCUUUGUGAAAUCUCCAGGCUUAACCUGGAAAGUCGGAGGGGACUGCCGGGCUAGAGGACGGGAGAGGAGCGCGGAAUUCCCGGUGUAGCGGUGAAAUGCGUAGAGAUCGGGAGGAAGGCCGGUGGCGAAGGCGGCGCUCUGGAAGUUCUGACGCUGAGGCUCGAAAGCGUGGGGAGCAAACAGGAUUAGAUACCCUUGUAGUC
rnacentral:rRNA from 1 species